AAUAAAUAAAUAAACAUCAUUAAUCUAGUGUUAGAUCUUUUGUGUUGAUAGGUUAAGAAUUAUACCAAGAAUUUCAUAUCACUCUAUAUAUUCAUUAGGUUAUGAUGUUUGCAACAUACAUUAUUAUUUAAUAUAUUAUUAUACUCCUACACAUUACAGAAAUCAAAUAUGAGAAGAAUAGGAACCAACCUAUAUGUUUUAUAAAAUUAUUUUAACAAUAGAAUUAAACGUAUAUUAGGCACUAUAUAUAUAAAAAUAUAUUGUUCGUCAUUGUGUGCAAAUGAACAAGGAUAAUCAAAUAUAUAAUGUAGAAUUAAUUGCA